rnacentral:sRNA from 1 species
CCAUAGCCCCGAUUGAAGAGAAAAUCCCGCAAUGGAGCGGCGAAGCGAAGCGGAGCCGCGCAAUGAGGAAUUGUAACGGAAAGCGGGAAAAAGC